rnacentral:siRNA from 1 species
ACGGACUAUAAUUUGUGAAUGAUA